UAUUACAGGCACUGCCUGCCCAGUGACAUAUGUUCAACGGCCGCGGUACCCUGACCGUGCAAAGGUAGCAUAAUCAUUUGUUCUCUAACUAAGGACCUGUAUGAACGGCCACACGAGGAUUCCACUGUCUCCUAUUUCCAAUCAGUGAAAUUGACCUUCCCGUGAAGAGGCGGGAAUAAUACUAUAAGACGAGAAGACCCUGUGGAGCUUAAAUUAAUCAGCCCAGUUAAUAACCACUAAACACCAAUAGGAAUAAACACACAUAACAUGAGCUGCCAAUUUUGGUUGGGGUGACCUCGGAGCAAAACAAACCCUCCGAAUGAUAAGUACUAAGACCUACAAGUCAAAGUCCACAAGUAUCACUUAUUGCCCAAAAUAUUGAUCAACGAAACCAGGUUACCCCAGGGAUAACAGCGCAAUCCUAUUCAAGAGCCCAUAUCGGCAAUAGGGGUUACGACCUCGAUGUUGGAUCAGGACAU
rnacentral:rRNA from 1 species